AAGGCAAUGGCGGCGUGCUAAUACAUGCAAGUCGAGCGAACAGACGAGGAGCUUGCUCCUCUGACGUUAGCGGCGGACGGGUGAGUAACACGUGGAUAACCUACCUAUAAGACUGGGAUAACUUCGGGAAACCGGAGCUAAUACCGGAUAACAUGUUGAACCGCAUGGUUCAACAGUGAAAGACGGUCUUGCUGUCACUUAUAGAUGGAUCCGCGCCGCAUUAGCUAGUUGGUAAGGUAACGGCUUACCAAGGCAACGAUGCGUAGCCGACCUGAGAGGGUGAUCGGCCACACUGGAACUGAGACACGGUCCAGACUCCUACGGGAGGCAGCAGUAGGGAAUCUUCCGCAAUGGGCGAAAGCCUGACGGAGCAACGCCGCGUGAGUGAAGAAGGUCUUCGGAUCGUAAAACUCUGUUAUUAGGGAAGAACAAAUGUGUAAGUAACUAUGCACGUCUUGACGGUACCUAAUCAGAAAGCCACGGCUAACUACGUGCCAGCAGCCGCGGUAAUACGUAGGUGGCAAGCGUUAUCCGGAAUUAUUGGGCGUAAAGCGCGCGUAGGCGGUUUUUUAAGUCUGAUGUGAAAGCCCACGGCUCAACCGUGGAGGGUCAUUGGAAACUGGAAAACUUGAGUGCAGAAGAGGAAAGUGGAAUUCCAUGUGUAGCGGUGAAAUGCGCAGAGAUAUGGAGGAACACCAGUGGCGAAGGCGACUUUCUGGUCUGUAACUGACGCUGAUGUGCGAAAGCGUGGGGAUCAAACAGGAUUAGAUACCCUGGUAGUCCACGCCGUAAACGAUGAGUGCUAAGUGUUAGGGGGUUUCCGCCCCUUAGUGCUGCAGCUAACGCAUUAAGCACUCCGCCUGGGGAGUACGACCGCAAGGUUGAAACUCAAAGGAAUUGACGGGGACCCGCACAAGCGGUGGAGCAUGUGGUUUAAUUCGAAGCAACGCGAAGAACCUUACCAAAUCUGACAUCCUCUGACCCCUCUAGAGAUAGAGUUUUCCCCUUCGGGGACAGAGUGACAGGUGGGUGCAUGGUUGUCGUCAGCCUCGUGGUCGUGGAGAUGUGGGUUAAGUCCCGCACGAGCGCAACCUAGCUAGUGGCCAUCAUUAAGGUUGGCACUCCUAGUGACCUGCCGGGUGACAACCCGAGGAAGGGUGGGGGAUG
rnacentral:rRNA from 1 species